GGUAGUCCACGCCGUAAACGAUGUCGACUUGGAGGUUGUGCCCUUGAGGCGUGGCUUCCGGAGCUAACGCGUUAAGUCGACCGCCUGGGGAGUACGGCCGCAAGGUUAAAACUCAAAUGAAUUGACGGGGGCCCGCACAAGCGGUGGAGCAUGUGGUUUAAUUCGAUGCAACGCGAAGAACCUUACCUACUCUUGACAUCCAGAGAACUUAGCAGAGAUGCUUUGGUGCCUUCGGGAACUCUGAGACAGGUGCUGCAUGGCUGUCGUCAGCUCGUGUUGUGAAAUGUUGGGUUAAGUCCCGCGACGAGCGCAACCCUUAUCCUUUGUUGCCAGCGGUUAGGCCGGGAACUCAAAGGAGACUGCCAGUGAUAAACUGGAGGAAGGUGGGGAUGACGUCAAGUCAUCAUGGCCCUUACGAGUAGGGCUACACACGUGCUACAAUGGCGCGUACAAAGAGAAGCGACCUCGCGAGAGCAAGCGGACCUCAUAAAGUGCGUCGUAGUCCGGAUUGGAGUCUGCAACUCGACUCCAUGAAGUCGGAAUCGCUAGUAAUCGUAGAUCAGAAUGCUACGGUGAAUACGUUCCCGGGCCUUGUACACACCGCCCGUCACACCAUGGGAGUGGGUUGCAAAAGAAGUAGGUAGCUUAACCUUCGGGAGGGCGCUUACCACUUUGUGAUUCAUGACUGGGGUGAAGUCGUAACAAGGUAACCGUAGGGGAACCUGC
rnacentral:rRNA from 1 species